rnacentral:lncRNA from 1 species
AGUGGGCCUGCAUCACAGGUUGCAGCAGAUGUUCUCAAUAUUUCUAUUAAAAUUUCCUUAUUUCCAUAUGCAAGAGGAGCCCCAGAGCUGCAUCCUUAUGGUAGCUACCAUGCCGUGAUGUAAGCUGCCAUUCACUGGGGAGCUUUGGCAAUAGAAUUGGCUAGAUCAGCAAGCCCAUGUCAACUAUGGAACAACAACUUGCAGCUCAUCUCUAUUGAUGGUGAGU